UGGCCCCAUGCCCGACCCAAGCUCCAGCCCGCUCUGCUCUCCAGCAGCAAGCAUCACAUACGGGGGGGCUUUGCUGGCGCCCGACCACCGUGCUGUGGGCGAGGCAGGGGGGAAGCAGGGCAUCGUCACUUCACUGAGGCGGAAACUAUGGCAGGGAGCGGGUGUUGGGUGAUUUGCCUGAGGCGACACAGUGAGCGACAGAGCCAGGUCCGUGACCGGUUAUCCGGGGAGGUCCUGUGCCUGAGGGGAUCUGCGGCACCCAUAAGCCUGUUUCGGUCACCGCCCAGCCCCACGCCCCGGCUGCCCGCUGCCCUGCGUGUCUGCGGGAGGGUGGCUGGUGGCAUCCACCUCUGAAAAGUGCACAGCUGAAGCGGGGGGUGGGGGGGGCGGCCAUGGGGACGGCAGAGGGCGGUGCUCUCAGGGGGCAGCCCGGCCCUCACGCCCUCUCCCAGUGCCGGGGCGAGCCCCACAGCUUGGGCUGUGAGGGGUCUCAGCGCGGACCCACAGCCCAGCUGCCAGGGAGAAAAGGGAGGACCUGGGGAGAUGACUUCCCGUCAGAGCCUCGGAGUCCGCGUCCGAAAACGCGGGGCUCAGCCAGACGGCGUCCAGCUUCCCUGGGAUUCACUUUCUUAUUCCCUCGGAAUGUGUGAUUUCUAAGGGUCUGCAUCUCGGCCUCGGGAAUUUGCCAUGAAGUCUCAGUCACACUGACGCCACCACCUCACAGCCACCCUGGGAGGUAGAUGGGCAGGAAACUGCCCAGCGUUUUAAAGGCAUCAAUUUAUGAAGUCAGCCAGAACCAAGUUCAAAACCUAACCCGUCACUGACUUGCCAGGGGCCUUGGGGAGUCUCUAAGCCUUGGUUCCUCUCCAGACAAUGGAGACAGGAACAGUCUCACUGCCUCCUGCGCUGCUGGGGAAGGGAGGGGACUUGGUAAAGGGCCUGUCCUCUAGGUCCUCCCUCCCAGUGAUCCUGACGUGAUCUCUGCCAACUACCUAGGAAUGUGGGGAGAACAAACAAGAUAUAGCAGCGGCUUCUGAGAAGGAAUGCACUACAAAAAACCUCGGGAAUAGGAUCACUUCCCUCGAAACAGAGCCCUGGGCUUCCACAGCCCCACCCUGGGGGGCCUCAUCCGAUUCUCCCAGCCUCCUCCCUCCUCCUGGCCCACCUGCAGAGUCAGGGACCAGAGCAGAGCAGGGGGCCCCGAGAGGCGUGCCCCCACCCUGGGAUCUCCCUGACCAGGGCGGAGGGCUGAGGGGGCCGGACAGUGAGCGGCUGGUUUCCAGACCUGAGACCCGCUCCCUGGCGCCCACUCUGCCGGGGCUUCCUCUCAGCGAGCCGGGCCUCGGAGGACGCAUGAGAUCAUGUCUGGGAAUUGCUCAGAGCUCCUCGGAGAGAAGAGGCCCGAGGGACCCUAGGCGGGAUCAAUUAUGAACCGACGUGCUCAUUUAUAAGCACCUCGGUUUGCUGCGGGGCAGAGGAGGAAUGUGUGGGCUUGGUGUCGGGGAGCUCAGGCUUCGCACUGGGCUUGACCACUAACAGGUGUGGACAAACCACAACCUCUCGGAGCCCUGACACCCGUAAAAGUGGAUAAAUAGCAGCUGAGCGAGGCUAGAGAAAGAGCGACAGCAGCGUCCUUACCUGCACAUGGGGUCGCGAGGGCGCCGGCCUCACGGCCUCGCGGUGAGGGGCAGUGGCUGCGUGCCUGGCACGGGUGAGGGGCAGUGGCUGCGUGCCUGGCACGGGUCGUCAUUGCUAUUGGGGAGUAGAGAGCAGUGGGACCAAAGGCCUGAGGAUGGAGUUAGCUGCGAUGCUGCCCAGGCUUGCAGGCUCUGUGUCUGUCCCCACACCUGCACCUACCCCUGACUGACACAGGAGAGAGGACUGUGGGGCCUGGUGGCCACGGUGACUUGAACAAGUUACAACCCUCAGGAGACCAGCACUCCCUUCUUCCACAUCGGUCCUACGCCCGACUAAGAGGCGGUGGCGGAACCUGGGCUCCCCACAGCCAGGAGCCGAAGGUCACCUCACCAGGCCAGGCUGCGUCCCCAGCACAUGGCUGGCCCCCCAAGGGCCAGCAGGGGUGUGGCCAGGGAACCUCCUGCAGCUGCACCCACUUGGGAGGGUGCCCCGAGGCUGAGUGGUGACACUCCCCAGGCUGCCGCCUCUUUGUAGAGCUCUGCCUGUGGAGGGCACAGCGCGCCCUUUUGGUGGUGGCCUGCUCAUCCUCACAGCUUAGCUGACAGGUAGCGAGUAGGGGAGAUGAAGAGACCACGGGCCAGGGCAGUGGUUUGCUAAAGACCACAGUGCAAAGCAGGGUGGACAUGCUGACGAGGUGCCGAGAGUCCUCACCGUCACAGGACUAGAACCACUCAGAGAGGCUGGCCACAGUGGGGCUGCAGGGAAGGCGGCGCUGGCCCCCUGCCCAGCUAACGCAGGCCUCUCCCUGAGGUGCCAGCUGUGGGGUAAAGAGGGCUCUCUCUUUCCUGGGACGCCAGGUCCACGGGGCCUCUGUUGACCUAAGCAGUUCCUAUCAGCCCUGAGGACCAGGCCAAUGACUGCCCACGUGGCAGAGAACGCCGUGAGACCAGGAAGAGGAUGCUGGAAGGCCUCUCUCAGGGGCCGGAGAACUCGUCAGGUUCCUGGGGCUGAUCCCCCUGAAAGGGGGUGAAGGGAAGGGCGGGCAAGCUCUCCUCGCUGGGAGGGAGGGUCAGGGCCAUGACAGGUCCGGGAAAGAAAGAGACAGAUGUGCCUGUGAAGGACGCUCUUGGCUUCGGCCAUGUGCUCUCCUUCCUCUGGCCACACAGAAGUCCCACGGACGCUGCCCCUUGCCCCACAGCCCAGGGCUAGUUCCCGACACGAGGACUCUGGUGACUCUCUUGCUGUUUGCCGACUGUUCACUGCUGCCUGGCGUGCCAGGCAUGCCAGGCCCGGCCCUGCAGAGUCACAUGUCCUGUGCGGGCGAGGGGCCUGGCACUGCGGGGGCAGCAUUGGGUACCGUGGGGUGGGGCACUCACGGGCGGGGCAGCCCUCCAGGGAUGCAGAGAAGCUGGAAGCCUGGAAGCAGCGGGCUGCCCCUUCUUCCCGGUGUGCAGGUCCUUGGGCAAACAGUGAGCCAGGUGGGAGUGAGCGCACAGUGAACGCUGGGCUGGGAAAAGCAAACACCGCGGGCCACGGCUCUGCCAGGCUGCUGACCUACAGGACGGCACUCAGCGGCUCGGGGGGGCCUUGUCUGUAGCCGCCGGGGCCCUUCAGGGUGAAUGACCUGGCCAUCCCCUCCUAUUUUCCCCCACCCCACCCAAAGGAGCAUAAGGUGGGGGGGAGGCAGAGACAGGAAGGAAUGGGUAGGACAUGAGUGCACAGGAAGCUGGGCUUCCGAGGCCUGGGUGCCACCCCCACCCUGCAUGGAGAGCCUCUGUGUGGACAGGGUACAGCAGCUCAGCAGGAGACGUGCUGGGGAGGGUCAGGCAGACCUGGGCCUGGAGCUUCUGCUUGGCCAUGUCCUAGCUGGGUGACCCUGAACAAGUCUUGGGACCUUGGGGCCAGUGAUGCGCACGUGCACGGCCCUUCUGAAGGUUAAUGGGAUGAGGCCCGUAUGGGAACACUUAGCACAGAGUUUGACACAGAUGACAGUCUCGGUACGCGGAUGCUCGGCCCAGUUGCCACAUGGAUGUGGGGUGGAACCAGGGCAGGUCACAAAACAGGGUAGCACUGAGUCUGAGCACCACACUCUCGGAAGGCAUGCGCCCUCACUCGGGGGCUCCAUGGUCUCCCAGCCUCAGUCCGGGGGGAGACUUCUGACCUGUAGCUGCACCAGCAGGGGCUAUUGGGGCUGUUCUUGCUGACCCCAAACUUAAGGCAACCAUGGGCCAGGUCCUAGAGUUCCUCCAGCUGAGAAAAGUCCCCUAUGAAAGAGCUUCUGCUUCAGGCUGGCCCCGCCCCACAGGAGGCCAGAGAAGCGCUGUGUCUUCCUUGCAGACGCCCCCCCUGGGGGUGAUUAGCACACGCUGAUGAGGCAGCUUGGCCUUUGCGGGCUGUACUACUCGCCACGUCACAGACGAUGCUCUGCGGGGUCAAAGCUCUUCAUGCCUCGGCGCCUUUGCACAGGAAGCCCUUCCCGAAUGCUCUCCUGGGAACUCCUCAGCCUUCUACGCCUUAGCCGACACGCCACCUCCCCUGCGAAGCCUCCAGGAGCCCGCCCACCCCGAGGCAGACCUGAUCCAUGCUCCUUCAUUCCUGCCCCAGGCCUGGAGCCAGGAUGCCAGCCUAGGACGCGAGCCGCACUGCCUCUUCCGGGAAGCCCCCCACAGGCUCUGGGAGCCAACUCCACAAUCAUGAUGACGCAAACAUAAUGGUAAUAAAGGUAACCAAGGACCUGCCA